rnacentral:rRNA from 1 species
UGGGGAAUCUUGCACAAUGGAGGAAACUCUGAUGCAGCGACGCCGCGUGAGCGAAGAAGCCUUUCGGGGUGUAAAGCUCUUACGCCAGGGACGAUAAUGACGGUACCUGGAGAAGCAGCUGCGGCUAACUACGUGCCAGCAGCCGCGGUAAUACGUAGGCAGCAAGCGUUGUUCGGAAUUACUGGGCGUAAAGGGUGCGUAGGCGGCGCUCUAAGUUUGGUGUGAAAUCUCCCGGCUUAACUGGGAGGGUGCACUGAAAACUGGGGCGCUCGAUUAUGGGAGAGGAAAGCGGAAUUCCUGGUGUGGCGGUGAGAUGCGUAGAGAUCAGGAGGAACACCUGCGGUGCAGACGGCUUUCUGGACCAUCACUGACGCUGAGGCACGAAAGCGUGGGUAGCAAACA